UGGCGUGUGGCAAAGUAGUUAAGGAGCUGGUUUGGGACCAGGAGGUUGCAGGUUCAAUUCCUGGAAUGGCAC